AAGUCGUAACAAGGUUUCCUUCCGGUUAAGAGACCUAACUACCGAAGCCUUACACAGCGACUCUAAAUCAACUGUGGAGUCUUACCAUAGGUGAAGACAAUACCGCUGAAAUGCUGUGAUCACGAAAAGUGUACCAGCAGCCUAAUCCAGGCCCACAGAUCAAGUGGCGGUGGUCUUAGCUACACAGCUUUAGACUAUAAUAUGACCGGUUCUUAUCCUCACGGUUAAGAGCUUUAACGUUCCGUAGGUGAACCUGCGGAAGGAUCAUUAAAGGUCAAUAUCCCCAUUUCAAAAGACCCAUUUCAGAUAUAUAUCUUUCCUGCGCCGGCUUCAGACGCCACCACCCCAACAUUCCCUUGCGGAAGCCCUCGACGAUGGGGUGUGGGUGUCUGGGGGCCGGCCAGGAAACCAGGAGUUCAAAAUCCGGGGGGGUUGGGGUGUCCUUUCAUCCUUUGUUUAACUACCAUGUUGCUUUGGCGGGCCCGUCUUUAACCGGACCGCCGGAGGUUAAAGCCUCUGGCCAGCGCUCGUCAGUAGCCCACAACAAAUUCUUUCAACCAUGUAUCUUCUGAAAAUAGUUAAUAAACUAAA
rnacentral:misc_RNA from 1 species